GAAUGAAUGUCUGAUCACAAAUCAGGCUCCAUGGCCGAUCAGCUCUCUAAGCAGACCUCUAUUUUUGGCCUACGCUUGUGGGUUGUUCUUGGGGUUUGUGUUGGAGCCGCUUUUGUGCUCUUUCUGUUUCUAAUUUCUCUUUGGAUUGCUUCUAAACGCUCCCGCAAGAAGAUUUCUCACAGACCCACUAUCCCAAUCGUCUCCAAAGAAAUCCAAGAGAUCAGAGUCGAUCAUGCCCUCGCUCAAAACCAAGAACAUAAGCCGAGUAGGUCCCAUUUUCAGGUCGACCCACUUCCGGAGCCGGAACCAAUCCCUGGAAUUGAGCGGCAGGCGUUGCUUUCGUUGCCUCAGGAGGAAGAGCGAGUGAAUAGGAUUCAUAUUGAGAUCGGGAAAGAUCAUAGGAUUUCAUAUCCUGAGCGCCUUGGUCGGUCGUCUUCCUCACAGGGGAGUGGAGAGGGCCGAUGUGGUGGCGAUCAGUUGCCUAUGGUGGUGCCUGAAGUUUCGCAUUUGGGUUGGGGACACUGGUACACUCUCAGAGAGCUUGAAGCUUCGACUAAUGGUUUCGCCCCCGACAAUGUAAUUGGCGAGGGUGGGUAUGGAAUUGUUUACCAUGGCAUAUUGGAAGAUGGAACUCAGGUUGCUGUGAAGAAUUUGCUAAACAACAGGGGCCAAGCCGAGAAGGAGUUUAAAGUUGAAGUUGAAGCAAUUGGACGAGUUAGACACAAGAACUUAGUUAGACUGCUUGGAUACUGUGCUGAAGGUGCUCAUAGGAUGCUUGUAUAUGAGUAUAUAAAUAAUGGAAACUUGGAACAAUGGCUUCAUGGGGAUGUGGGAUCUUUCAGCCCUCUUACCUGGGAGAUUAGAAUGAAUAUCAUUCUUGGAACCGCAAAAGGGCUAGCUUACCUUCACGAGGGAUUGGAACCAAAGGUUGUUCACCGGGAUAUCAAAUCAAGCAAUAUCUUACUCGAUAAGCAAUGGAAUUCCAAGGUUUCAGAUUUUGGGCUUGCAAA
rnacentral:misc_RNA from 1 species